CGGGUGAGUAACACGUGAGAAACCUACCCCGGAGAUGGGAAUAGCCCAGGGAAACCUGGAUUAAUGCCCAAUACCCUGCCUGCACCUCAUGGUGUGUUCAGGAAACGCUCCGGUGCUCCGGGAGGGUCUCGCGGCCUAUCAGCUUGUUGGUGAGGUAACGGCUCACCAAGGCAUCGACGGGUAGCUGGUCUGAGAGGACGAUCAGCCACACUGGGACUGAGACACGGCCCAG
rnacentral:rRNA from 1 species